GAGGGUAUAGCUCAGUGGUAGAGUGUGUGCUUAGCAUGCACAAGGUCCUGGGUUCAAUCCCCAUGACCUCU
rnacentral:tRNA from 1 species